rnacentral:rRNA from 1 species
GACGAACGCUGGCGGCGUGCUAAACACAUGCAAGUCGAACGGUAAGGCCCUUUCGGGGGUCCACGAGUGGCGAACGGGUGAGUAACACGUGGGUGAUCUGCCCUGCACUUUGGGAUAAGCCUGGGAAACUGGGUCUAAUACCGGAUAGGACUACGCGAUGCAUGUCGUGUGGUGGAAAGCUUUUGCGGUGUGGGAUGGGCCCGCGGCCUAUCAGCUUGUUGGUGGGGUGAUGGCCUACCAAGGCGACGACGGGUAGCCGGCCUGAGAGGGUGUCCGGCCACACUGGGACUGAGAUACGGCCCAGACUCCUACGGGAGGCAGCAGUGGGGAAUAUUGCACAAUGGGCGCAAGCCUGAUGCAGCGACGCCGCGUGGGGGAUGACGGCCUUCGGGUUGUAAACCCCUUUCAGCACAGACGAAGCGUAAGUGACGGUAUGUGCAGAAGAAGCACCGGCCAACUACGUG